rnacentral:rRNA from 1 species
GACGAACCGAGCGAACGUUGUUCGGAAUCACUGGGCUUAAAGGGCGCGUAGGCGGGCAUUCUAGUCUGUGGUGACAUCCGGCAGCUUAACUGUCGAACUGCCGUGGAUACUGGAUGUCUCGAGGGAGGUAGGGGCGUGCGGAACUAAUGGUGGAGCGGUGAAAUGCGUUGAUAUCAUUAGGAACUCCGGUGGCGAAGGCGGCACGCUGGACCUCUUCUGACGCUGAGGCGCGAAAGCCAGGGGAGCAAACGGG